rnacentral:ncRNA from 1 species
UCUUCAGUCGCAGAAACUUAUGAAGCGAUAACUGGCUUGUGGUAGCCAAGCGUUCAUAACGACGUUGCUUUUUGAUUCUUCGAUGUCGGCUCUUCCUAUCAUACUGAGGCAGCACUCAGUAAGCGUUGAAUUGUUCACCCACUAAUAGGGAACAUGACCUGGCGUUUAGGCUGUCGUGAGAUAGGUUUGUUUUACCCUACUGAUGACAUGUUAUUGCAAUAGUAAUUGAACUUUACCCUCGAGGAACCGUUCAUUCGGAUAAUUGGUAUUUGGGCCUGUCUGAGCAGGCAACGGCCCGAAGCUAUCAUCCGUUGGGUUAUGGCUGAACGCCUCUAAGUCAGAAUCCGUGCUAGAACGCGACGAUUACCACCUUUUCCGAUUUUUAGUUGAAUACGAAUAGAUCUUCAGAUCAUGAAUCAUAUUACGUGGGGUUAUCUUGCAGAGCGGAAAGGCUUUGUGAGGUUUCUGCUAAUGUUAAUUUCAAAUAUUGGAAGAGAUAAAUCCAUUGCAGACGACUUUAAUUGAACGGGGUAUUGUAAGCAGUAGAGUAGCCUUAUUGCUACGAUCUGCUGAGAUUAUGCCCAUUGUUCUAUAGAUUU